UCUCUGCUGGCUCGCUCUUUCUCUUUUUCUUUCUCCUUCCUCGCGCCACAGUUGCUCGAGUCACUCGAUCUUAAGAUCAGUCUUUUGUUCUUUUAUUUCAAAGAGCUCUCAGUCAUGUUUCACUCAGCGCUGAGCACAGUAAAUCUUGUCUGAGCUUGCAUCUUAUAAGCUUCAUGUACACUUAAUGUAAUGUAAUGUCUGUCAUUCUCAUUGUCUCAGCUUUCAUCUACUUCUUCUCUUCUCAAUAUCUUACUUCAGAACAUGUUUUUAUCUUUAUAAUGUCUCUCUGCACUCUUUGUCUCUCUCUCUGUUAGUUCUCACAGUGUUUUCAUCACUGCUCUGUGACUUGAGUUUAUUUAAUAUAAUGUAAAGCUGUCUUAAAUGACUGUGUUGUGUUUAGCAACGCCAUUGCUGUUUGUGUUUCUAUAAGAUCAUCAUAAAGCUAUUGUUGUUAUUGUCUCUUAAUAAACAGUUGUUACUUUUAAUACUGACAACUAGUAAAUGCUGCUAUGUCAUUUCAGCUUGACUUAUUUAAAA
rnacentral:sRNA from 1 species